CCGAGAUAAAUGCGUUAGCUGUUUUAUGUGUACAUUUAUUGUACAUUAUUGAUACUGCAAAACACACACAUGUGUUUUGCAUAUUACAAUGUAAUAUGUAUGUAUUGAAUACUUCAGCUUUUAGCUAAGAAGGGAUUUGAUUUUCAAUUUAUUCUUAUCCACAUUCAUUUAGUUAUCAUGCUUAUCUAUUUUCAUAUAUUAUUGCCACGAUUGCCAUAAUUUCUUUCCAACACUAAAGCAUUAUACAAGUUUGUUGUAAUAAUAAUAAGGCAUUCUCUGUUUCAGUUAUUAAAACUCUUUGUAAAAGAAAAGAAUACAUUUUUCGUAUAAAAGGAAAUUUCCUUCGUAUGAGGAAAUGUGCUGUGUACGUCGGCGCAUCACACCAGCCUCUUCUUUUCAAACGGCGCAGAAACACACAGACUCGAAGCACUCCACACCGUAGCCGGUAGAAGACUAACCGUCAAUGAUACCGACCUGCUUGCGAUCUCCGACAUUGAGAAACCGGUUCUAACAGCGCCACUUGGCAAAGACGCUUCGACGAUCUGCUACGUUUGAGGAUUUAUCACCCAGUUCGAAAAUCAAAUUCGAAAUUGUAGCAAAUUGUACAUAUCUCGUAUGUAAAUUUAUAAUAGAAUACUAUGAAAAGAGUUUUAUGGAGGAUUUACUGGCUUACUUAAGAAAAGAAGUAUUCUAAUGUAUAUACAAGAGUUACUAUUUCAAAAGAUUUCUUUUUUUAGAUUCAAAUGCUAAUUGAGAUUUUUAUCUAUAGAAACUUGUCUACUUUAUAGAUAAUAAAUCAUUUUUAUUUAGAAUUUUAAGACAGAUACGAGCAAACCUCAAUCAAAUAUAAUUUUUACAAUUAUAUAGGUCUAGACAUUCAUCAUUAUGCGUGCUAAAUUUUAUAUAUUAUUUUUGUUUAUAUUAAAUUUUAAAGUAUAAAAUCAAUUUAAAAUAAUCCAUUUAAAUUUUCCUCGAUUCAUUUCACAUAAAAAAACGUUGUUAAUUUUUACGUAUGUUUUUUUAGACAUUUAACUAUUUAAGUUAUUAAAGUGUGCUACUUCGCUCUUAUUACUUCUACUUAAAAUCAGUGACCUUACCUUAUAGACCUCAGUUAUUCUGUGCAUAUCCGAUGAAAUGUCAGUCUACAGUCAGAAUAAAUAAAACUGCAAGUAGUCGUAUUACGAUUCAUUCGGGAAGGCUUGAAAACUCAGAAACCGCACACAUGUUUAAUUUGAUCUAUAUAUGUAUAUAUAUACAUAUACAUAUAUAUUUUUCGGUAUAUAAAGGCACCUAUUACACUAUUUAAGUACAGGCGUUCUCAUUGUCAUAUAAUAAAUAAAUUAAUAUUUAUUACUUCCCUGCCGUACGUAUCCCAUUGACGCGGCUAUGUACAAAAAUUUGAAGGCGUAACAUUAGAGUGCGGGAUAUCUAAUUAUAGGCUCUAAUAGCAUAUUAGAUAUUCUACACAUACCUUGCUAUAUGUAUAUUAUAUUGUACAUGUAUAUAAUAUGCUAAUAUUCAAUCGAAUGAUGAACU